AAUAAAAAGUUCAAACUCCUUUCCUUCCUAUGCAAAUGCCUUGACAUUCACUUUAUAUCAGAUGGAAUUUUCUUUUCCCUUGUUAUUCAAACCAAGAAAAUGAGCUCUCUUUUUCAUGUAGUUCACUUUUUUUAUAGUGUAGUCUCCAGAUAUUGUUGUCAACAGUGAACAGAUGAAGCCUCCCUGCAACAUAAUGACAUAUCACAACGGCAUCGUGGUCUAUAUUAGGGUUUAGAAAAAUCACCAGUUGAUAAAUAUUGCUUUUGAUAGCUCAGAGCAUAGGCUUGAUCUAUGUCUUAGUCCUGCAGAGAUGUAGCUAUUUUACAGUUACAUCUUCCUAAGCCAAACAAGCUGGAAGAAAGGUGUUUUAAAAAGCAUAUUCUGUUAUUGUGGAAUUCUUUCACUAACCAAAAUAAAUUUCUGUUCAGCACCUCAGGACCUCAAUGACUUCUUGAAACUGAGUACUCCUAGAAUAAAGUGGAGAAUAAAUACAAGAAUGGAAGAACAAACUAAUCAAAAUCGUGCUCUGGAAUUAACUUGAAAAAAUGUAUGAUGAUGUGACUAGAUUUAUGCCUCCUUAGAAGUCUUAGAAGUCAAGAAGACUUGAAUAGAAAUGCCUAUUUAGAAAUAUGUAAAUGAAAGGACAUACAAUCAGCAGGAAGACUUAUUUCUCACAGUAACAGGUUCUAAAGCACUGAUUGUACAAACUCAUUGAAAUUAAUUUAUUCAAUUCAGUAAGGAAGCUGCAUUAUGCUCCUACUCUCCAUAGCUUCUCUCUGUUGUCAGCUGUGGGGCAGCCACAGGCUAAUUGAGAUUAUAUUAGGGCUGAAGUAACCCAUCCGUAGUGAAUAUUUAUUUCUGAAAACAUGGUUCCUAACUCAUAAUCUCUUUUAAGAGACUGUUGGCUGGUAGAGAAGGUCAUGACAGCUGUAUUUAAUAGCUCUUAGUCAUCUUUGGCAGUAAGAAUUAUGUAUAUAAUAUAACAUUUCAUAUGUAUAUGAAGCCGAUCAGACAUACUUUUUGAAAAAACCAUGAACGAAUUAAUUUUGUGAAAAGAUUGGACUAGUAGAACAGAGGAGUAAUCUUGGAACACAUCUACCACCUAGCAGGUAAAAUCAAUACAAACCCUAGACCCCUGCAAAUUCAAAAUUAACUUUGAAAAAGGUAAAGAAUUUGUACAGUAAUGACCCAUGGGAAAAUAGAAUUCUUGUCUUGUAAGAGAACUUGAGAACUUAUUGAGGGUUCAGGACUCACAGUGAACGGCAGAAUAAAGAAUGCUACAGAGUCCAGAAUAACAAGUAGAAUUUUGUCAAGGUAUGUUAAUAUUUCUUGUUAAGGAAUAUUGCUGCAAAGCUUUGUCUCAGAAGGCUGCUUUGGUAUUAGAAAUCUUGCCUUUGAGUUACACAGGGAAAAAAAUUCAUCAGAAUAAAGUAUUUUGUUGUUCAGAAACUGUGGAAAGUGUCAACUGAUAAUGAAAAUCUUUUAUAAUGCCUAGGAUUCAGAAUGAUAACUGAACAGGAUGUAUACUUGUUCAGAUGCAUAUACUGAACAAUUCUAAUAAAUGAAAUAGAUCCACUCAUAUAGAAUAAGUAUAAGCUUCAUUCUUGGUUAAAUCUAAACCUGGGAAGAUAAAGCAAGAAUAGAUGAGCAUGCAUGAAACUGAAUAAUAGGAAGUGAAACACAGCAAUCCUGAAACUGAAGGAAAAAAAAUACUUUAUUUAAGGUGUGUUUUUUUACAAUCCCACAUUUGACCAACAAAGUCUUUGAAUGAAGAACUUUACAGAGACGACUUAUAAUUCUGUUCAAUGGAUGAUUUAAAGCACGUAGAUCUCAAGAAACAGAAGAAAUGUGUUUAACUGUGGGGGCAGAGUGGGGGAAAUCCUCCUAUCACCAUGGUAGCAAGUGGUCUUUGUCAGUGCCUGUGCUUAUGUUUCGUGUAAGAGAAUAUGGUCUUUUAGGCUGCAGAACUGUAAUGUCAUUUUGAAAAUGCACUGGGACCAGACAUAAUGCACUGUCCUAUGAAUUCUGAAAGUGCAAUUAAAAGCAGACCAGUGAUGACAGCAAGGUCUUAACUUGCUUACACUGAGGGUCAUGAACAUCAAAUUUUUCAGCCAAGGGUGAAAUAGCAUCCUCAUAAUUAACCGGUCUUAGAAACUACAACAUGCCAACUGCACCUAGUAUACCCAAGAAAUUUUAGAAUG